UUGAGAGCAUUAACUUUGUUCCAGUUGCCAAGACAACCUUUGCUUUUCAUUAUAUGCUCAGAUGAUGGCUCAUGUAGAAUCUGCCUUUUAGAAUGUCUGGACUCCACUCCCACUUUCUAAUGCCCCAUGGAGAGAAGAAUGGACAAAAUAAAAGCAACAAAGAUGCACAAGCUUCCUUGGAGGAUACAGAUAAAGAAAAAAAUGUUCUUCAUGACCUAGAAGAAGAAAUACAUCUUCUCUUAAUAAAUCCCAUCUGAAAUCAUAACUGCUAGAAAUGAAGAUCAAUUGUUACAAGAAGAUGAGGUGGUACUUAACCAGAAGGUUCUCCUGGCAGACUUGGUGCAUCUUGGUGGAUAUAUCUGGUAUAGAUAGGUACAGGAUAGAAGUCAGCACAAGCAACAAAUCCCAGCGAAAGAGGAACAAAAUUGUAUACCACGAUCUUCCAUGCCAGCUGGGCGGCGAAUGCAACCUACAGUGGGCAUGUAUAGCAUGAGGACAUUCCAGUAGCCCUAUGUUGUAAGGAACUGAGUCAGCCUGCCAACAACCACUGAAAAACUGAGGCCUCCUGCUGACAGUCGUGUGAAAGAAACAUAUUGGAAGUGGAUCCUCCAGGUCUGGUCAUACCUCAGAUGACUGCAGCCCAAGCCAACAUCUCAUCUUGACUGCAGCCUCAUGAGUGACUUAGCCUGAACCACACAGCUGGAAUAUUUCUGACCCAC